rfam:Asian citrus Psyllid, Diaphorina citri - Florida Strain, whole genome shotgun sequence.
UUGAAUUUUCAUACCAGUACGUUGAAUGCACCAGUUCCCUAAGGAUCACUGAAGUUAAGCAAUUUUGCUGAUGGUUAGUACCUGGAUGGUGACCAUAUCUGAUGAUUUACAUACUGCUCAGC